CCUACGGGUGGCAGCAGUGGGGAAUAUUGGGCAAUGGGCGCAAGCCUGACCCAGCAACGCCGCGUGCAGGAAGAAGGCUUUCGGGUUGUAAACUUCUUUUGUCAGGGAAGAGUAGAAGACGGUACCUGACGAAUCAGCCACGGCUAACUACGUGCCAGCAGCCGCGGUAAUACGUAGGUGGCAAGCGGUGUCCGGCUUUACUGGGUGUAAAGGGCGUGUAGCCGGGUUGACAAGUCAGAUGUGAAAUCCUGCGGCUUAACCGCAGAACUGCAUUUGAAACUGUUGAUCUUGAGUACUGGAGAGGCAGACGGAAUUCCUAGUGGAGCGGUGAAAUGCGUAGAUAUUAGGAGGAACACCAGUGGCGAAGGCGGUCUGCUGGACAGCAACUGACGGUGAGGCGCGAAAGCGUGGGGAGCAAACAGGAUUAGAUACCCCAGUAGUC
rnacentral:rRNA from 1 species